rnacentral:rRNA from 1 species
GACGAACGCUGGCGGCGUGCUUAACACAUGCAAGUCGAACGGAAAGGCCCUGCUUUUGUGGGGUGCUCGAGUGGCGAACGGGUGAGUAACACGUGAGUAACCUGCCCUUGACUUUGGGAUAACUUCAGGAAACUGGGGCUAAUACCGGAUAGGAGCUCCUGCUGCAUGGUGGGGGUUGGAAAGUUUCGGCGGUUGGGGAUGGACUCGCGGCUUAUCAGCUUGUUGGUGGGGUAGGGGCUUACCAAGGCUUUGACGGGUAGCCGGCCUGAGAGGGUGACCGGCCACAUUGGGACUGCGAUACGGCCCAGACUCCUACGGGAGGCAGCAGUGGGGAAUCUUGCACAAUGGGCGGAAGCCUGAUGCAGCAACGCCGCGUGCGGGAUGACGGCCUUCGGGUUGUAAACCGCUUUCGCCUGUGACGAAGCGUGAGUGACGGUAAUGGGUAAAGAAGCACCGGCUAACUACGUG